rnacentral:rRNA from 1 species
UACGUAGGCAGCAAGCGUUGUUCGGAGUUACUGGGCGUAAGGGUGUGUAGGCGGUUGUUUAAGUUUGGUGUGAAAUCUCCCGGCUCAACUGGGAGGGUGCGCCGAAUACUGAAUGACUAGAGUGCGGGAGAGGAAAGUGGAAUUCCUGGUGUAGCGGUGAAAUGCGUAGAUAUCAGGAGGAACACCGGUGGUGUAGACGGCUUUCUGGACCGUAACUGACGCUGAGACACGAAAGCGUGGGUAGCAAACAGG